AUCCAAUGCGACAACGGCCGCGAAUUCGACAAUCGCGUCAUUCAGGAUCUCUCCGUCCAGCACGGGAUCCUCCUACGUUUCUCAUGCCCAUACACCUCUCCACAAAACGGUAAGGAACGCAUCAUUCGCACUAUCAACGACGUAGUUCGUACUUUGCCUUUUCAAGCGAGCAUGCCUCCAAAAUUUUGGGAAGCCCUCCAUACGUCCACCUAUCUUCUCAAUAGAUUACCCACCAAAGCCCUUUCGGCUUCCUGUCCUUUCUUCGCUCUUUUUAGCAAAACACCAGACUACACCCUUCUUCGUACUUUUGGUUGUUUAUGCUACCCCAAUAUCGCGUCCACUAUGUCUCACAGACUGUCGCACCCUUCAGUCGCAUGUGUUUUUCUUGGCUAUCCAUCUAACCACCAUGGCUAUCGUUGCAUGGAACUUGAAACUCGUCGCAUCAUCAUCUCUCGCCAUGUGAUUUUUGACGAAACUCGGUUCUCGUUC
rnacentral:rRNA from 1 species